rnacentral:sRNA from 1 species
GCAUAAAAGAGGGAGAAUAUAAUGCUGAACACUAUUGUCCCUAUACAUAUACAUGUAUUUGCAGUCAUAUAACUGUUCCAUACACAGUAAGUGCUUAUUAUGACAAAUUAUGAUUUUUUUGCAAUAAUAUUACUUCAUAUACAUUUUUUCUUAGUCACUAGAAAUUUAUUUAUUGAAAAUAAUAUUUUUGUUGUAGAUAGACAAAUAAUACAUAGUUUAUGCAAUUAGGAUAAACACAAACAAACAGAAAAAAUUAAAAUAGCAUAUUUGCGAAUAUGUAAUACAGUGGGGCCUCUUGUAUUCAGAUUUUCCUUGCAUGGUCUUUACCUUCCAGACCAAGUGGAUGGGAAAUAAUUUAUCCAAGAGUGAUGGUAGAUAUGAUGCUGAUUUACUGGAUUCUUUGUUAAUCUGCAUACCCGGGCAAAUUAUUUGAAGGAUAAAAGUUUUCUUGAUGAAUGAAGCGCCACUAAUUAGUAACCAUGAAAUGUGUGCAAUAUCAGCUAGUGCAAGUAGAAAUUGAUAUAGAACUGUGUCUCUUUAAGAUUUUUGUUAGUUUGUUAACUGUCUUGUGUUUCUAUGCAAGAAUCCCCUAACAAACUUUAUUGUUAUCUCAGUAUAUGUAAUGAAUAUACAUUUUUGUGGGCUACAUCUACUCAGUAUCUAAAGAUGCGGGAAAAUUUACAGACUUUUGCUUUUCAAUAUUUUGCAGUCCCAAUGGAAAAUACGAUAGGCUAUAGAAAAUGUUGCUUUGAAAAGUAUUUGUUUUUAUCUAUAAAUUACAUGUAUUGUAAAAUGGUUGUGUUUUGAGUGAUGUAGGAUUUUUAUUUAUGAAGAUAUUCAAUGAUGUGUUCAGCCUCUCCAAUGAACCAGUGCACGUUUUUGCUUGCUUCUAUAGAUUGUGUUCAUUGUUUACCACUAUAAAAGGUUCAAAGGGAUUAACAAAAUUAAUCUUUAGUAUUUAAGGUCAAAAAUAAAAUAAAUUAGAAUAAAAGAUUAAAAAUAAUGCUGCUGGCAUAUUCUUUCUGCCAAGAUCUACAAAGGGAAAUAACUCUUCAUUUUGAAAAAGUUAUCCUUCUUUUGAUUGUUUUGUUGCUGCAUCAUUUGACCUGGUGCAGUGGGGCUUGAAAGCUUGGCCAAAAUGAAGAUAAAACCACUACCACUAAAUGGAGUUCAUAAGUGUUAAUAUAUACCGGUACUCAUGUGUAUAAGCUAGGAAACAUAUAAUUCAUCACUUCUAUGCAUUGAUAUUAAUGAAUUAUAAUUCUUGUUUGUUAUCAAAAUUUUUACUCUUGUUUAUUAUGAUGCCAUACUGAAUGGAAACAUUCCACUGUUAAAAUUGCCAUAUUUUACCCCUCUUAUAUAAUGUUCAUGUAUGCAUGAAUUAUGAUUGAAUCUUCUGAUCUGUUUACCUGCUUUACAGAAAUAUUGGUAUACACGUACAUAUUAAUUGAUAUGUUUUAUAGGAGGUAAUUGUGGUCAAAUCUACAAUGAUGGUAUUAGUUUAGGGUAAUAUACAGCAGCUUCUUAUAAACCUACAAAUAUAAACAUUGUAUGAAUAUGUAUGUAAUAGUAUUAGAUGGGCUAUAGGGUACAUCUAUUGGAUCAAUGUGCUUCUCCGAGACUCUCAAAAUUCUCUAAGGUCCAAAAUCUGAAAAUCAAAAUUAAGGCAGUUACUUCAAUCCAUUUAUAGUCUGAUCGAUGAUUUCAUAAUUAAAGUUUCAACAGUCAAGUUUCUUCAUGCAUUUUUUUUUUUCAUUUUGUUAAGGUGGCUUACUACACCUUGAAAUAUUUUCUCAAAUCAGCAGAAAAUUACUUGAUUUUGAUAGAUAUCAUUAUGGAUAGGCAGUAUUUUAUGUGCAAUUUUGAAUGAAAAAUUACAUUUUCGAAAAUUUAAUUCAGUAAAUAUGAACAUUUAAGCUCCAGGCGGAUUCGAAUUCAUGAUCUGCAGUUCAGAAGCCUAAUACUAGUACUUUAACCACUGACCUACGACGAUAUGCAACGCAAUUGAACGAUGUAAACAGUUUAAUUUACAAAACAUUUAAAUCACCAUCUUGUCACGUAGUGUCUUAAAAAGUAUAAGUCUAGGUUUAGUAAGGUACCUUAAUGGGCACUCGUUUCAGGAUGAUAGAAAACUGAGUUGUAAGCCAUAAGGUAGUCCAUGCAAAAAAAAAUUACACUGUUGUAGGAAAUUUUGAUUACCCCAUUUUGUAUGAAUUGAAGUACAUGUACUGUUUUUCAAUUAAAAUCUGUUUAUGUCACAUGACAUGUAUUGUGAUUCUAUGCAAUAGGAGUGAUUAUAUUGUUACAUGGUAUACUAUGCAGAUUCUAUUGUUCAAUAUUGGAACAUUUUAUUUUUGAUUUACAAAUGAAAUUUGUCUGUAGAUUUAAAAUACUUAAUUUUAUGAAUAAAUCUUUAUUAAUUU